rnacentral:lncRNA from 1 species
UUUCUUGAUUGUAGUUGCAAGAUCUCAAAUAAUAAGAAUUUGCUCUCUUAUUAAUCUUAAGGAAAAUCCUCUCAAAACCUUAAGCUCACACUCACAAUCUUAAAACUCUCUAGGUUGCAACAACUCUGCAACUCUCUUUAUAUAAGAAAAGAUAUCUCCUAAUCUUAUUAGUAAAACCUAUUAUAGAUAACUCCAAAUCCGCUUAGUAAACCAUAUCUCGGUGGGAUUAGGAUAACUUGAUUCCCAAGCUAAUUCAAGCUUACUCCAACAUUCUCCCCCUUAAGCUUGAAACCAUCUCUUGCCAAGUCUUCAACGCCAACUAACCUUCUCAUCUCUUUGUAUCGAAUCCUUGCGAGUGCUUUCGUUAAGAUAUCUGCUCGUUGCUCGCUUCCUGCAAUGUGAUGAACCUCUAUCAAGUUGUUGUCCACGCAUUCCCUUAUGAAGUGAUAUCGUCUAUGGAUGUGUUUGCUUCGACCGUGAAACACUGGAUUCUUAGUGAGAGCUAUAGCUGAUUUAUUGUCAAUGUAUAUCACCACUUUCUCACACGGCUUUCCAAUUAUCUCACUAAGAAGAUCUUGAAGCCAAAUAGAUUGUUUUGCUGCCUCAGUUGCUGCCAUGAACUCUGCUUCACAAGAUGAUAGAGCCACCGUUUCCUGCUUCUGAGAACACCAGGUGAUAGGCGAGUCAAGGAAGUAGAAAACGUGGCCAGUAGUGCUUCUUCCAUCGUCAUCGUCAACAUUGUGGCUUUUGUCGCUGUAUCCACUAAGCCUCGGGUUGUCUCCUUUCCUGAAAGUAAGCCCAUGAGACCGGGUUCCCUGUAGGUAACGAAGUAUCUGCUUGAUAGCUGCUGCGUGUGAGGUCCUUGGCUCUGCCAUGUACCUACUCAUUACCCCCACAGAGUAGGAGAGAUCGGGUCUGGUGUGCAAAAGAUAUCUAAGACAACCGAUGUUUCUUCUGUACUCCUUCUCAUCUACUCGUCCUUCAUUACAUGCCUUAGAAAUCUUCAGGCUUGGGUCCAUGGGAACAUGAACCAUGUUACAGUCUUGCAUUCUCGUUUCCUCUAAUAUCUUUUUAGCAUAUCUCUCUUGCUUCAAAGUGAUUCCUUCAUCGUGUUGUUCGACCUCAAUACCUAGGUAAUAUGUGAGUUUUCCUAAGUCACUCAUCUCAAACCGUGCUGACAUUCCCCUUUUAAACUCGAUGACCAGUUCCAUGCUUGUUCCUGUUACAAGAAGGUCAUCAACAUACACGGCUACGAGAAGUAGAUGUUCUUUAUCUUGUCGUCGAUACAGAGCUGGCUCCUUAGCACACUUCACAAAUUUCAGUUCUCCAAGCACUUUAUUUAACUUUUCAUUCCAAGCUCUUGGAGCCUGACGCAACCCAUAGAGAGCUUUGUUUAGUUUAUAUACUCUGUUCUCUUGUCCUUUAACUUCAAAGCCUUCCGGUUGAACAACAUAAACUUCUUCCUUUAGAUCGCCGUGGAGAAAUGCAGUUUUGACGUCUAGAUGAUGCACUUCCCAACCCUUAGAAGCAGCGAGUGAUAGUAUAAAGCGGACGGUCUCAAUGCGUGCGACAGGGGCAAAUACUUCAUCAAAAUCGAUGCCAUGACGCUGAAUGUAACCUUUUGCUACCAAUCUUGCUUUAUACUUGUUGAUGCUUCCAUCAGAGUUACGUUUCACUUUGAAGAUCCACUUCAGGCCAAUCGCCUUAGCUCCAGCAGGGAGAUCAGUUAGAUCCCAAGUUUUGUUUUUCACUAUUGACGAUAUCUCAUCGUCACACGCAUCACGCCAAACUUUCUCGAGCUUUGCUUCCUCAAAGCUCCAUGGUUCACCGUUAACACUUAGUAGUAAGCGUUCUCCUUCGACUUCUGCCAAUAGAACGUAAUCAUCUAGGUAGCUUGGCUUCCUAGUUUCUCUUUGGGAUCGUCUCAACCCCGUUUCAGCACUUUCUUCAUCGUCAUCUUCGAUCUCAGCUUGAUCUUCGGUCUCAUGAUCCUCUGCUUCCUCUGUUUUUAUUACUUCAUCUCCGUACAUCGUAUCAAUUUUGUUUUCUCGAUUUAUCUCAUCACCUUCAUUGAUUCCAUGGUUUCCAUAUUCUCCGAUCUCAACAUUGAGUGGCUCUACACUUUCUUCUUUCUCACAAUUCUUCCAAUCCCAACUUUUGUUUUCAUCAAAACAUACAUCUCUGCUUACCACCACUUUUCUGUUUAUUGGAUCAAGUAAUCGAUACGCUUUCGAUCCUGGUUCCGUGCCGAGAUGUAUCAGCAGUCGAGAUCGAUCAUCUAACUUCUUUAGAUGACCCUUUUCAACCUUAGCAUAAGAGACGCAUCCAAAAACCCGAACAUGAUCAAGUCUUGGCUUGCUUCCUUUGUACGCUUCGUAUGGAGUUGUGUUCACGAGCACCCGCGUCGCUACUCUAUUAAUGAUGUAUGUAGCGUGCCUUACUGCUUCACCCCAGAGAUAAUUAGGCAGGCUCAUGUGUUUCAAGAUGCUUCUAGUCAUGCCUAAGAGGGUUCGGUUCCGUCGUUCUACAACCCCGUUUUGCUGCGGGGUGUAUGGGGCUGUGAGCUGUCUCGCAAUUCCAUUGUUUUCACAGUAAGAUUGAAACUCGCUUGAAACAAAUUCUCCUCCUCUAUCGGUUCUAAAAGUAGCAAUGGUAGUUCCUGUCUCUUUCUCAACGAUCGCUUUGAACUUUCUAAACUUCUCAAACGUCUCUCCUUUCUCCCUAAGAAGUAUAGACCACAUGUAUCGAGAAUAAUCAUCAAUGAGAACGAAUAUAUACCUCUUCUUUGAUGGUGUAAUGGGUGUAAUGGGUGUUAUUGGGCCACAGAGGUCUCCAUGUAUAAGUUCAAGUGUUCUCUCAGCUCUAAAAGAUGUUGCUUGCGGGAAGGGUUGUCUUGCUUGUUUUCCAAGUAAGCAGCUUGAACAAGUUCCUUUAUCGAUUACAAUCUUAGGUAUACCCAAGACGAGUUCCUUGCUGAUCAUUGACCUCAUUGACUCUCUACCUAUGUGUCCCAAUCUUGCAUGCCAUCGUUCGGAUUCGCUUGAAACUGAAAUCUGUAAACAUCUUUCAGUAACGAUGUCGAUGAUGACUUUGUAUAAGCGGUUUUGUGAUCUCUUUGCUUUUGUUAUCAGCUUGCCAUCUUUGUCUCUUAGCGUAAGAUACUCGUCUCUCAUUCUCACGUCACAACCGGCUUCCGUAGCUUGUCCAAGACUAAUUAUAUUACUCCUAAGGUCUGGUAUGUAGUAGACAUCAGACAAGAGUUUCUUUCCUCCAUCUUUACUGUAAAAUAGGAUCGAGCCCUUGCCUUUAAUGUCAAUGCGCGAAUCGUCUCCAAACCUUACUUUUCCUGUGAUAGUUUCAUCAAUCCGUUUAAAAUACUUGCGGUUGCCGGUCAUGUGGUUGCUUGCUCCAUUAUCUAAGUACCAGACAUUGUCUUUGCUUGCCUCAAACUCUUUAGGAUUAACAUUCUUCUCGUUAAGGUACACAACCUCUUGCAUCAUUAAUUCCUCUGCCUCAAGUGUGCUUUCAUCUUUUGUCUCGGUGACUUCUUGUAGUUUCAGAAGUCGAUCAGGACAAGUUGAUGCGUAAUGUCCAUGCUUGUCACAGCGGAAACAUUGGAUCUUCGACAUGUCAAAAUUCUCUUGGUAGCGAUCGUUGUAGCGAUCGUUAUACCUGCCUCGUCCUCUUCCGCGGUUAUAGUAACGUCCACCACGUCCACGACCUCUAUAGUUGUUAUAACCCUGAUUAUAUGAGUUCGAGGUAGGUUGAGAUUCGUUGUUUGCGUACAUGAGUUUGUUCUGUGUCUCCUCUGUUUCUUCUUCUUCUUUCACUCUAUCUUCAUAAGCUUUUAAUCUCCCGAUGAUGUCUUCGAAGGUUGUGGUUUUGAGGUCAAGAACUUGCUCUAAUGACGCAACAAUGUGUAUAAACUUCUUUCUAGGAAGACUAGAUAGAAAUUUUUUCACGAGUUUGUGUUCUUCGAUGGUUUCUCCUAGAGCGAUUGACUUUGAUGAGAUUUCCGCUAGCUUUCCAACAAAAUCAUCAAUGGUGUCAUUAUCUUUCAUCUUCAAUCUCUCGAAUUCUGCCAUUAACGUCUGUAGUCUUGCUUCACGAACUCGUUCUGCGCCCAUGUACCUUGAUUUUAUUGCGUCCCAAACUUUCUUUGCUGUGUCGAGAUCACUUACUUGUAGCACAAGUACUUCAGGUAUGGAUUGAAAAAUUAGGGCUGUGGCCAUGUCAUUCUUCUCUCCGACAUCCGACUCGCUUUCCACCGCAUCCCAAACUUUGUGUACCUUUAAUAACAGCUUAAUCCUGAUUGCCCAGACCGUGUAGUUAGUUGUCGUGAGCAUAGGACACUUUAUUGUGGAGGAGGAACCUCCUCCUUCCUUCGGUUUCGAAAUAACGAUGUCUCCCAUGAUUAUCUCUUAAUAGCUCCUGGAAGCUCUGAUACCAAAUAUAGUUUAGUUUCUUGAUUGUAGUUGCAAGAUCUCAAAUAAUAAGAAUUUGCUCUCUUAUUAAUCUUAAGGAAAAUCCUCUCAAAACCUUAAGCUCACACUCACAAUCUUAAAACUCUCUAGGUUGCAACAACUCUGCAACUCUCUUUAUAUAAGAAAAGAUAUCUCCUAAUCUUAUUAGUAAAACCUAUUAUAGAUAACUCCAAAUCCGCUUAGUAAACCAUAUCUCGGUGGGAUUAGGAUAACUUGAUUCCCAAGCUAAUUCAAGCUUACUCCAACA